rnacentral:rRNA from 1 species
UACGAAGGGGGCUAGCGUUGUUCGGAAUCACUGGGCGUAAAGGGCGCGUAGGCGGCUUUGUAAGUCGGGGGUGAAAGCCUGUGGCUCAACCACAGAAUUGCCUUCCGAUACUGCAUGGCUUGAGACCGGAAGAGGUAAGUGGAACUGCGAGUGUAGAGGUGAAAUUCGUAGAUAUUCGCAAGAACACCAGUGGCGAAGGCGGCUUACUGGUCCGGUUCUGACGCUGAGGCGGCGAAAGCGUGGGGAG